rnacentral:rRNA from 1 species
GUAGGGUGCGAGCGUUAAUCGGAAUUACUGGGCGUAAAGCGUGCGCAGGCGGUUUUGUAAGCCAGAUGUGAAAGCCCCGGGCUUAACCUGGGAAUGGCAUUUGGGACUGCAAGGCUUGAGUGCGGCAGAGGAGACUGGAAUUCCUGGUGUAGCAGUGAAAUGCGUAGAUAUCAGGAGGAAUACCGGUGGCGAAGGCAGGUCUCUGGGCUGACACUGACGCUCAUGCACGAAAGCGUGGGGAGCAAACAGGAUUAGAUACCCUGGUAGUCCACGCCCUAAACGAUGUCGACUGGUUGUUGGGGGUUUGACACUCUCAGUAACGAAGCUAACGCGUGAAGUCGACCGCCUGGGGAGUACGGCCGCAAGGUUA